AGCGAACGCUGGCGGCGUGCUUAACACAUGCAAGUCGAACGUGAAAUGUAGCAAUACAGAGUAAAGUGGCGUACGGGUGAGUAACACGUGGGUAAUCUACCAAAGUGUCUGGAAUAACCGAUCGAAAGGUUGGCUAAUACUGGAUAGUUCAAGCUUGUUAUAAUGGCAAGAUUGGGAAAGGGAGCUGGCAACAGCCUUCGCAUUUUGAUGAGCUCGCGUCUGAUUAGUUAGUUGGUAAGGUAAUGGCUUACCAAGACGAAGAUCAGUAGCUGGUCUGAGAGGAUGAUCAGCCACACUGGAACUGAAACACGGUCCAGACUCCUACGGGAGGCAGCAGUGGGGAAUCUUGCGCAAUGGACGAAAGUCUGACGCAGCCACGCCGCGUGAGUGAAGAAGGCC
rnacentral:rRNA from 1 species